rnacentral:rRNA from 1 species
UCCUACGGGAGGCAGCAGUGGGGAAUAUUGGACAAUGGGCGCAAGCCUGAUCCAGCCAUGCCGCGUGAGUGAUGAAGGCCUUCGGGUUGUAAAGCUCUUUUGUCCGGGAAGAAGUUCUGACGGUACUUGAGGAAUCAGCCUCGGCUAACUCCGUGCCAGCAGCCGCGGUAAU